rnacentral:rRNA from 1 species
AGAGUUUGAUCAUGGCUCAGGAUAAACGCUGGCGGCGUGCCUAAUGCAUGCAAGUCGAUCGGGAUCUCCUUUGGGAGACGACCGAGGCGGACGGGUGAGGAGCGCGUAGCUGACCUGCCCUGAUGUGGGGGAUAUCCACCGGAAACGGUGAGCAAUACCGCAUGAGGCGGCCUGGGUAGCCCUGGGUCGUCAAAGCCAUCUUUGGAUGGUGCAUCAGGAGGGGGCUGCGUCCGAUUAGCUAGUUGGUGGGGUAAUGGCCUACCAAGGCGACGAUGCGUAGCUGGUCUGAGAGGAUGAUCAGCCACACUGGGACUGAGACACGGCCCAGACUCCUACGGGAGGCAGCAGCCAGGAAUCUUGGGCAAUGGGCGAAAGCCUGACCCAGCAACACCGUGUGGGCGAUGAAGGCCUUAGGGUCGUAAAGCCCUGUUGAUAGGGACGAAGGGCGAAGGGUUAAUAGCCCCUAGCUUGACGGUACCUUUCGAGGAAGCCCCGGCUAACUACGUGCCAGCAGCCGCGGUAAUACGUAGGGGGCGAGCGUUGUCCGGAAUUAUUGGGCGUAAAGAGCGUGUAGGCGGUUCGGUAAGUCUGCUGUGAAAUCCUGGGGCUCAACCCUGGGCGUGCAGCGGAUACUGCCGGGCUAGAGGGUGGUAGAGGCGAGUGGAAUUCCGAGUGUAGCGGUGAAAUGCGCAGAUAUUCGGAGGAACACCAGUAGCGAAGGCGGCUCGCUGGGCCACACCUGACGCUGAGACGCGAAAGCGUGGGGAGCGAACAGGAUUAGAUACCCUGGUAGUCC